rnacentral:rRNA from 1 species
UACAGAGGAGCCAAGCGUUGUCCGGAUUGACUGGGCGUAAAGCGCACGCAGGCGGACGCGCGCGUGGGGUGUGAAAUCUGGCCGCUUAACGGCCAGGCGCCAUCCCAUACGGCGGGUCUGGAGUGAUGCAGAGGGCGGUGGAAUUGCCGGUGUAGUGGUGAAAUUCGUAGAUAUCGGGAGGAACACCGGUGGCGAAGGCGGCCAUCUGGACGGAUACUGACGCUGAGACGCGAAAGCGUGGGUAGCAAACAGG